GAGCUGUCAACUUUGUCUGUGUGAGAGAGAGAGAGCAGAAACCGGUACAUAGGUAAAGUAAGGUGGGCGUGAGAAGAUGUGGAGGGCGAGACAGGGAGGGAGAUAAGGAGAAGGCGGGAGUGAAGGAAUUUGUGAGGAACUGAAAACAGGGGAGGGCAGCGAAGGGGAGAGGGAAGAGUGCCGAGCAGAGAGCAAGGUUACACGUGAAGGCAGUCCAGAGAACGAAAGUAAGAGAGACAGAGGAGAGGGAGAGAGAAUAGCAGGACAGGUACGCUGGCGUGGAUCAUGGAGUUGAGAAGGUUUCAGUCGUACCUCACAAGUUAAUUACCUGUUGCUCACUGGAGGACAAGAAGAAAGAAAAGUGGAGAACAAAGAAAGAGUAAACAAUAAGGGCAACGGAGAAAGAGAGAGGGGCAUAGGGGGAAACCAGGGGUAGAGGGAGACAGGGAGAGGGGGAACCAUGGGUAGAGAGAAAGGGAAGGACAAAGUUGAAUGUUGACAGAGGGAGUGAGGAUAUUAAUCGGGAGAUAAACAAAAAGGAGGAGAGAGAGAGAGAGGGGGAAAAAAGAAAGAAAAAACCAAAUAGAUUCACAUUGACAGAGUGGACUGGACUUGAAUGAAGCACUGACAUCAGCAAAAUAAAGGGAGAGAAAGGAGGUCACUGCAGUCCGAAGUAGGUGCUGUGCACUAGUUCCUUAAGCACGCUUACUAUGAAACAGUAGUUAGGACAAGCAAAGACAGACGUUCACUACACGAUUGAACCAUGUUGCUGAAGGAGUAUAGAAUUUGCAUGCCACUAACUGUGGAAGAGCUUGGAACGUUCCAGAAAAUGAUGUCAUGGCUUUAAUUGACAUAAUUUGAGUCAACUGGAGGUGUACCUGCGGAUGUAUUUCAAGGACUACCUUCAAACUCAGUGCCUCUUUGCUUGACGUCAUGGGAAAAUAAAAAAUUGUAGAUCUCCACAAGUCUGGCUCAUCCUUGGGAGCAAUUUCCAAAUGCCUGAAGGUACCACGUUCAUCUGUACAAACAAUAGCAUACAAGUAUAAACACCAUGGGACCACGCAGCCGUCAUACCGCUCAGGAAGGAGUCCCCUAGAGAUGAACGUACCUUGGUGAGAAAAGUGGAAAUCAAUCCCAGAAUAACAGCAAAGGAAACUUGUGAAGAUUCUGGAGGAAACGGGUACAAAAGUAUCUAUAUCCACAGUAAAAUGAGUCCUAUAUCGACAUAACCUUAAUGGCCACUCAGCAAGGAAGAAGCCACUGCUCCACAAGCGCCAUAAAAAUGCCAGACUACGGUUUGCAACUGUACAUGGGGACAAAGAUCCUACCUUUUCGAGAAAUGUCCUCUGGUCUGAUGAAACAAAAAUAGAACUGUUUGGCCAUAAUGACCAUCGUUAGUUUGGAGGAAAAAGGGGGAGGUUUGCAAGCUGCAGAACACCAUCUGAACCGUGAAGCACGGGGGUGGCAGCAUCAUGUUGUGGGGGACUGGUGCACUUCUUCAGACUUCAGGGGUAGGUCUGUUAUCUUUUCUACAUAGUUUAUAUCUGGUUUUAGUCGUUUAAGUUUACACUUACGUUUUUCCAUCCUUUUUCCAUUCCAUUUUAUUACAAGAUUAUUAUUUUUUUACUGUUUGGACAUAGGCAGCCCGAAAACACACUUAGGAAGCCCGCCCAAGACUUUUCUUUGCAGAAAAAACCCUGGAUCGGUGGCUUGUGUGUAUCUAUCUGAAAAUAGUCUCUGUAAAAUCACACAGAACCAAAUUCUAAGGUGAGAUUCAUUCCACGUGUGGAACUCUGACUCUCAUGGUCUGAUGGGGAAGCGCAUUAAGAUUCCUAUGCAGCUUUCGUGGGAUCAGCUUAUAGUUCCACAUUCAAACCAUAGCACUGUUUAUGCAAUGUCUGCGCGCACACACACACACACACACACACACACACACACACACACUUCUAAUUCUGAGGGGAGUGUAGCUGGUUGUACUAGUAGGUUGGCGGAUUAAGACACCGGUACGUGUGUUUCAUAUUUAGUCAAAAGCUGGGGGACAAAUUAAGACCGGUAUGUGUUUGUUUUGUUUUUAGUCAAAGGGUGGGGCACAUUCACAUAAUAUAGUUGCUGUCUCACUGCACUGGAUGUUUCAGUCAUCAUCAGUACAACACAUUAACCACACAACUGUCACAGGGGUCUGAAGUCAAAGAGAAACAUAACGCUGUGUGGGUUUGUGUUAGUCAAAGGGUGGGUGACACAUUCACAUAGAGUGGCCAGACCAGAGACAUAGAUAUCCCUUCACAUAGAGAGUGGCCAGACCAGAGACAUAGAUAUCCCUUCACAUAGAGAAUGGCC
ensembl:lncRNA